rnacentral:piRNA from 1 species
UGGCUUCACAAUACUCAUUCCAUCU